AACGAACGCUGGCGGCAGGCCUCAAACAUGCAAGUCUAGGGGGUGUAGCAAUACAUCACCGGCGGACGGGUGCGUAACGCGUGGGAAUAUACCUAUCGAUUCGGAACAACUGAGGGAAACUUCAGCUAAUACCGAAUACGUCCUAACGGAGAAAGAUUUAUCGUCGAUAGAUUAGCCCGCGUUCGAUUAGCUAGUUGGUGGGGUAACGGCCCACCAAGGCGACGAUCGAUAGCUGUUCUGAGAGGAAGAUCAGCCACACUGGGACUGAGACACGGCCCAGACUCCUACGGGAGGCAGCAGUUGGGAAUCUUGGACAAUGGGGGAAACCCUGAUCCAGCCAUGCCGCGUGAGUGAUGAAGGCCUUCGGGUUGUAAAACUCUUUCGCGCACGACGAUAAUGACGGUAGUGCGAGAAGAAGCUCCGGCUAACUUCGUGCCAGCAGCC
rnacentral:rRNA from 1 species